UGCAGAACCUGGCUCUAGUCCAAGAACUGGAGUUCAAACCCCCUUUAGUAGGCCAACCUGCUAUUUUACAGUGCUGGAUAAUUUUAUCGUGAAGGUUUCUUCCAGCUUUGAUUUUCUGAUCCAUUAUUCUUUUUCUCUAAUUUGAAAAUAAGCUGGUGAAGCGAAAUGUUUUUAAUAUGAAUCACGGAUCUACAUAUUACACUCCUAGAAUGCCUUUCAAAAGUCACAUAUGAUAGGAAAUAACAUCAGUUUCUUAAUCUUAACAUUUUUAAUGCUAAACUUCAUGUUUU
rnacentral:lncRNA from 1 species